AUGAUGAUGAUGAGUAUCAGUGGUUACAUGAGGGAAAUUCAUGAGGGGCUUUCCACAGGGGGCUAACACGAGGGCAUCCAGCAGGAAACUCAUUUCUCCGGCUGACCAC
rnacentral:snoRNA from 1 species